rnacentral:rRNA from 1 species
AUUGAACGCUGGCGGCAGGCCUAACACAUGCAAGUCGAGCGGAUGAGAGGAGCUUGCUUCUCGAUUCAGCGGCGGACGGGUGAGUAAUGCCUAGGAAUCUGCCUGGUAGUGGGGGACAACGUUUCGAAAGGAACGCUAAUACCGCAUACGUCCUACGGGAGAAAGCAGGGGACCUUCGGGCCUUGCUCUAUCAGAUGAGCCUAGGUCGGAUUAGCUAGUUGGUGAGGUAAUGGCUCACCAAGGCGACGAUCCGUAACUGGUCUGAGAGGAUGAUCAGUCACACGGGAACUGAGACACGGUCCAGACGCCUACGGGAGGCAGCAGUGGGGAAUAUUGGACAAUGGGCGAAAGCCUGAUCCAGCCAUGCCGCGUGUGUGAAGAAGGUCUUCGGAUUGUAAAGCACUUUAAGUUGGGAGGAAGGGUUGUAGAUUAAUACUCUGCAAUUUUGACGUUACCGACAGAAUAAGCACCGGCUAACUCUGUGCCAGCCGCCGCAGUAAAAC